rnacentral:siRNA from 1 species
GCUAUCGUACCCGCUGAUCAACCA